rnacentral:rRNA from 1 species
AAUAGUUUUUUAAAUGGAAACUGGGAUGAAUGAAGUGAUGAGAUUUAUACUGUCUUAAGUUAAAUAAAUGAAUUUAUUAAUUAAGUAAAAAAACUUAAAUAAUUAUAUGGGACGAGAAGACCCUAUAGAAUUUUAUAUAAAUUUAAUAAUAUAUUUAAUAUAAUACUUAUUGAUUUUAUAUUUUAUUGGGAGGAUAGUUAAAUUAUAUAAACUUUAAUAGUAUAAAUCCAUACAUUUAUGAAUUAUAAGUUAUAGAAUGAUAAAAGUUUUAAGUAGAAUUAAUUACCUUAGGGAUAACAGCGUUAUAUUUUUAGAGAGAUCUUAUUGAUAAAAAUGAUUGC